UGCAAGCAGUUAGCGCUCACACUCACGCAC
rnacentral:piRNA from 1 species